AAGGUCCCUGAGGUUUGCUGUCACAGUUGGCUGUUUGGCAGGGAUCUGACCUGUCAUUUGGAAGAACAAGGUUCUUAAAUUCCAGAGGUCAUCUGGGAAUAGUGUCCAAGCAUUCCCAGUUUCCUUCCCUAGAGAUCAAACUCAGGGCCUUGUGCACUCGAGGCAAGUAAGUAUCCAUUCUGUCGUUGAGCUACAUCUCCAGCCCUAACUUCCCACCUUCACCACAGAAGAAACCUAGGAGCGGUGGGAGUAGGAGAAUCACAAACUGAGUGAUGUAGAAAGCAGAUGGGAAAGAGGAUGGAUGAUGAACCAAAGACCUGUGACCAGAGAAAUGCUCAGACAGACAUAGCAAGGCCUGCCCUGUGGUCACUAGAAGCAGACACACACCAGGAAGGUUAAGAAGGCUUGACCUGACGAAAGAACAGAACUCCCAGCUACCUCCCCAGCACCUGCAUGCCACCUUGCUUCCUGACAUGACCAUAAUGGAUGAAACCUCUGAAACUGUAAGCCAGCCCCAAUUAAAUGCUUUCUUUUAUAAGAGUUGUCAUAGUCAUACUACAUUUUUGACACGGUGACAAAAUAUAGUAAUCUGCAAAGCUCAUGCUCACACAAUAGGG
rnacentral:lncRNA from 1 species